rnacentral:lncRNA from 1 species
GAAGAGACAUGUAAUUGAUGUCUGUGGAUAUGUUCCAUAAUUGCAGGGACCAACCAUUUUGUUCCUGAUGUUGUGGCUUUGCUCCUGGCUAGGAGAUCAGUUGAUGGCACAACUAUGCAUGCUGAUCUUGUGGUGCAACACGGCUUUGGUUGGAAGGACUUUUUGGUGAUGCGAGAAUGGUUGGCAAUAUGGCAGUAAGAAGCGUUUUUGCUCCUAAAGACAUUGCUCCUGGCUUAGGAGAUCAGUUGAUGGCACAACUAUGCAUGCUGAUCUUGUGGAGCAACACGGCUUGGUUGGAAGGACUUUUUGGUGAUGCGAGAAUGGUUGGCAAUAUGGCAGUAAGGAAGCGUUUUUGCUCCUAAAGACAUUGCU